rnacentral:pre_miRNA from 1 species
AGUAGGAAAACUGGGUCAAAUGGUGGUUCCAUUCCAAGUUUUCUGAGGAAUCUCCAUAUUGCUUUCCAGAGUGGAUGCACCAGUUUGCAAUUCCCACCAGCAAU